GGGUUGUGAGGUUAAGCGACUAAGCGUACACGGUGGAUGCCCUGGCAGUCAGAGGCGAUGAAGGACGUGCUAAUCUGCGAAAAGCGUCGGUAAGGUGAUAUGAACCGUUACAGCCGGCGAUGUCCGAAUGGGGAAACCCAGUGCAAUUCGUUGCACUAUCGUUAACUGAAUACAUAGGUUAACGAGGCGAACCGGGGGAACUGAAACAUCUAAGUACCCCGAGGAAAAGAAAUCAACCGAGAUUCCCCCAGUAGCGGCGAGCGAACGGGGAGCAGCCCAGAGUCUGAAUCAGCUUGUGUGUUAGUGGAACGGUCUGGAAAGUCCGACGGUACAGGGUGAUAGUCCCGUACACCAAAAUGCACAGGCUGUGAACUCGAAGAGUAGGGCGGGACACGUGGUAUCCUGUCUGAAUAUGGGGGGACCAUCCUCCAAGGCUAAAUACUCCUGACUGACCGAUAGUGAACCAGUACCGUGAGGGAAAGGCGAAAAGAACCCCGGCGAGGGGAGUGAAAAAGAACCUGAAACCGUGUACGUACAAGCAGUGGGAGCACCUUCGGGUGUGACUGCGUACCUUUUGUAUAAUGGGUCAGCGACUUAUAUUCUGUAGCAAGGUUAACCGUAUAGGGGAGCCGCAGGGAAACCGAGUCUUAACUGGGCGUUAAGUUGCAGGGUAUAGACCCGAAACCCGGUGAUCUAGCCAUGGGCAGGUUGAAGGUUGGGUAACACUAACUGGAGGACCGAACCGACUAAUGUUGAAAAAUUAGCGGAUGACUUGUGGCUGGGGGUGAAAGGCCAAUCAAACCGGGAGAUAGCUGGUUCUCCCCGAAAGCUAUUUAGGUAGCGCCUCGUGAAUUCAUCUUCGGGGGUAGAGCACUGUUUCGGCUAGGGGGUCAUCCCGACUUACCAACCCGAUGCAAACUACGAAUACCGAAGAAUGUUAUCACGGGAGACACACGGCGGGUGCUAACGUCCGUCGUGAAGAGGGAAACAACCCAGACCGCCAGCUAAGGUCCCAAAGUCAUGGUUAAGUGGGAAACGAUGUGGGAAGGCACAGACAGCCAGGAUGUUGGCUUAGAAGCAGCCAUCAUUUAAAGAAAGCGUAAUAGCUCACUGGUCGAGUCGGCCUGCGCGGAAGAUGUAACGGGGCUAAACCAUGCACCGAAGCUGCGGCAGCGACACUAUGUGUUGUUGGGUAGGGGAGCGUUCUGUAAGCCUGCGAAGGUGACCUGUGAGGGUUGCUGGAGGUAUCAGAAGUGCGAAUGCUGACAUAAGUAACGAUAAAGCGGGUGAAAAGCCCGCUCGCCGGAAGACCAAGGGUUCCUGUCCAACGUUAAUCGGGGCAGGGUGAGUCGACCCCUAAGGCGAGGCCGAAAGGCGUAGUCGAUGGGAAACAGGUUAAUAUUCCUGUACUUGGUGUUACUGCGAAGGGGGGACGGAGAAGGCUAUGUUAGCCGGGCGACGGUUGUCCCGGUUUAAGCAUGUAGGCUGAUUGUCCAGGCAAAUCCGGAUAAUCAAGGCUGAGGUGUGAUGACGAGGCACUACGGUGCUGAAGUAACAAAUGCCCUGCUUCCAGGAAAAGCCUCUAAGCAUCAGGUAACAUCAAAUCGUACCCCAAACCGACACAGGUGGUCAGGUAGAGAAUACCAAGGCGCUUGAGAGAACUCGGGUGAAGGAACUAGGCAAAAUGGUGCCGUAACUUCGGGAGAAGGCACGCUGGUGUGUAGGUGAAGUCCCUGCGGAUGGAGCUGAGACCAGUCGAAGAUACCAGCUGGCUGCAACUGUUUAUUAAAAACACAGCACUGUGCAAACACGAAAGUGGACGUAUACGGUGUGACGCCUGCCCGGUGCCGGAAGGUUAAUUGAUGGGGUUAUCCGUAAGGAGAAGCUCUUGAUCGAAGCCCCGGUAAACGGCGGCCGUAACUAUAACGGUCCUAAGGUAGCGAAAUUCCUUGUCGGGUAAGUUCCGACCUGCACGAAUGGCGUAAUGAUGGCCAGGCUGUCUCCACCCGAGACUCAGUGAAAUUGAACUCGCUGUGAAGAUGCAGUGUACCCGCGGCAAGACGGAAAGACCCCGUGAACCUUUACUAUAGCUUGACACUGAACAUUGAGCCUUGAUGUGUAGGAUAGGUGGGAGGCUUUGAAGCGUGGACGCCAGUCUGCGUGGAGCCAACCUUGAAAUACCACCCUUUAAUGUUUGAUGUUCUAACGUUGGCCCCUUACCGGGGUUGCGGACAGUGUCUGGUGGGUAGUUUGACUGGGGCGGUCUCCUCCCAAAGCGUAACGGAGGAGCACGAAGGUUAGCUAAUCCUGGUCGGACAUCAGGAGGUUAGUGCAAUGGCAUAAGCUAGCUUGACUGCGAGCGUGACGGCGCGAGCAGGUGCGAAAGCAGGUCAUAGUGAUCCGGUGGUUCUGAAUGGAAGGGCCAUCGCUCAACGGAUAAAAGGUACUCCGGGGAUAACAGGCUGAUACCGCCCAAGAGUUCAUAUCGACGGCGGUGUUUGGCACCUCGAUGUCGGCUCAUCACAUCCUGGGGCUGAAGUAGGUCCCAAGGGUAUGGCUGUUCGCCAUUUAAAGUGGUACGCGAGCUGGGUUUAGAACGUCGUGAGACAGUUCGGUCCCUAUCUGCCGUGGGCGCUGGAGAAUUGAGGGGGGCUGCUCCUAGUACGAGAGGACCGGAGUGGACGCAUCACUGGUGUUCGGGUUGUCAUGCCAAUGGCACUGCCCGGUAGCUAAAUGCGGAAGAGAUAAGUGCUGAAAGCAUCUAAGCACGAAACUUGCCCCGAGAUGAGUUCUCCCUGAGACUUUAAGUCUCCUGAAGGAACGUUAAAGACGAUGACGUUGAUAGGCCGGGUGUGUAAGCGCAGCGAUGCGUUGAGCUAACCGGUACUAAUGAACCGUGAGGCUUAACCUUACAACGCCGAAG
rnacentral:rRNA from 1 species